rnacentral:rRNA from 1 species
GACGAACGCUGGCGGCGUGCUUAACACAUGCAAGUCGAGCGGUAAGGCCUCUUCGGGGGUACACGAGCGGCGCACGGGUGAGUAACACGUGGGUGACCUGCCCUCAGCUCUGGGAUAAGCCUGGGAAACUGGGUCUAAUACCGGAUAUGACCUUUCCUCGCAUGGGGUUUGGUGGAAAGUUUUUUCGGCUGGGGAUGGGCCCGCGGCCUAUCAGCUUGUUGGUGGGGUGAUGGCCUACCAAGGCGACGACGGGUAGCCGGCCUGGGAGGGCGACCGGCCACACUGGGACUGAGACACGGCCCAGACUCCUACGGGAGGCAGCAGGGGGGAAUAUUGCGCAAUGGGCGGAAGCCUGACGCAGCGACGCCGCGUGGGGGAUGACGGCCUUCGGGUUGUAAACCUCUUUCGACCCCGACGAAUUUGGACGGUAGGGGUAGAAGAAGCACCGGCCAACUACGUG